ACGAACGCUGGCGGCGUGCCUAAUACAUGCAAGUCGAACGCUUCUUUUUCCAUCGGAGCUUGCUCCACCGGAAAAAGAGGAGUGGCGAACGGGUGAGUAACACGUGGGUAACCUGCCCAUCAGAAGGGGAUAACACUUGGAGACAGGUGCUAAUACCGUAUAACAAUCGAAACCGCAUGGUUUUGAUUUGAAAGGCGCUUUCGGGUGUCGCUGAUGGAUGGACCCGCGGUGCAUUAGCUAGUUGGUGAGGUAACGGCUCACCAAGGCGACGAUGCAUAGCCGACCUGAGAGGGUGAUCGGCCACAUUGGGACUGAGACACGGCCCAAACUCCUACGGGAGGCAGCAGUAGGGAAUCUUCGGCAAUGGACGAAAGUCUGACCGAGCAACGCCGCGUGAGUGAAGAAGGUUUUCGGAUCGUAAAACUCUGUUGUUAGAGAAGAACAAGGAUGAGAGUAACUGUUCAUCCCUUGACGGUAUCUAACCAGAAAGCCACGGCUAACUACGUGCCAGCAGCCGCGGUAAUACGUAGGUGGCAAGCGUUGUCCGGAUUUAUUGGGCGUAAAGCGAGCGCAGGCGGUUUCUUAAGUCUGAUGUGAAAGCCCCCGGCUCAACCGGGGAGGGUCAUUGGAAACUGGGAGACUUGAGUGCAGAAGAGGAGAGUGGAAUUCCAUGUGUAGCGGUGAAAUGCGUAGAUAUAUGGAGGAACACCAGUGGCGAAGGCGGCUCUCUGGUCUGUAACUGACGCUGAGGCUCGAAAGCGUGGGGAGCAAACAGGAUUAGAUACCCUGGUAGUCCACGCCGUAAACGAUGAGUGCUAAGUGUUGGAGGGUUUCCGCCCUUCAGUGCUGCAGCUAACGCAUUAAGCACUCCGCCUGGGGAGUACGACCGCAAGGUUGAAACUCAAAGGAAUUGACGGGGGCCCGCACAAGCGGUGGAGCAUGUGGUUUAAUUCGAAGCAACGCGAAGAACCUUACCAGGUCUUGACAUCCUUUGACCACUCUAGAGAUAGAGCUUCCCCUUCGGGGGCAAAGUGACAGGUGGUGCAUGGUUGUCGUCAGCUCGUGUCGUGAGAUGUUGGGUUAAGUCCCGCAACGAGCGCAACCCUUAUUGUUAGUUGCCAUCAUUUAGUUGGGCACUCUAGCAAGACUGCCGGUGACAAACCGGAGGAAGGUGGGGAUGACGUCAAAUCAUCAUGCCCCUUAUGACCUGGGCUACACACGUGCUACAAUGGGAAGUACAACGAGUCGCAAAGUCGCGAGGCUAAGCUAAUCUCUUAAAGCUUCUCUCAGUUCGGAUUGUAGGCUGCAACUCGCCUACAUGAAGCCGGAAUCGCUAGUAAUCGCGGAUCAGCACGCCGCGGUGAAUACGUUCCCGGGCCUUGUACACACCGCCCGUCACACCACGAGAGUUUGUAACACCCGAAGUCGGUGAGGUAACCUUUUGGAGCCAGCCGCCUAAGGUGGGAUAGAUGAUUGGGGUG
rnacentral:rRNA from 1 species